UACGAAGGUCCCAAGCGUUGUUCGGAAUCACUGGGCGUAAAGGGUGCGUAGGCGGGUCUUUAAGUCAGGGGUGAAAUCCUGGAGCUCAACUCCAGAACUGCCUUUGAUACUGAGGAUCUUGAGUUCGGGAGAGGUGAGUGGAACUGCGAGUGUAGAGGUGAAAUUCGUAGAUAUUCGCAAGAACACCAGUGGCGAAGGCGGCUCACUGGCCCGAUACUGACGCUGAGGCACGAAAGCGUGGGGAGCGAACAGG
rnacentral:rRNA from 1 species